rnacentral:rRNA from 1 species
UAACACGUAGGGGGCGAGCGUUGCUCGGAUUUACUGGGCGUAAAGGGGGCGUAGGCGGUUCUACAAGUCGGCGGUGAAAUCCUUCUGCUUAACGGAAGAAUUGCCUCCGAAACUGCAGGGCUUGAGGGCAGGAGAGGGAGGCGGAAUUCCUGGUGUAGCGGUGAAAUGCGUAGAUCUCGGGAGGAACACCAGAGGCGAAGGCGGCUUCCUGGACUGUCCCUGACGCUGAGGCCCGAAAGCCAGGGGAGCAAACGGGAUUAGAUACCCCGGUAGUCCUGGCCCUAAACGAUGGGCACCAGACAUUGGGAGGUUUUAUCCUUCUGUGUCGUAGCUAACGCGUUAAGUGCCCCGCCUGGGGAGUACGGUCGCAAGGCUG